CCCGCCUGUUCCGGGACCCAUGGCGGGCCUCGCCCGAUAGUCCCUGCAGAGAGCUAUACCUAUACUAUUCCUUAGAACUGGAAUAUGCCACUGAAUCCUCUCAAUUCUCCUGGGGCUUCUCUGAAUCCUUCAGUUCUUUUCCUGGCAGUCUGCAAUUCCUAUUGAAUCCUACGCUUCUUCUUCUGGCACCUCCACGAAUCCUACUCAAUUCCCUCAACUCUCCAGGGGCACCUCCACAAAUGCCCUCAUUUUCUUCACCGUUUCUAUGAUCCUCCCCUUUCCUUUCCCUUCCAGGAAUCAAUAAAACUAAGAAAACAUUUUAACAUAUUUAUUUCUGUUCUAGUUCAAUUUCCUUCAAGGAUUAAUAAAGCAAACUUAUUACAAAAUAAACAUCAAAGUUUCCAUACAACAAAAUUUUCUCAUCUGAUCCAUCUUCUCAUCUGAUCCAACACGCCAUUCCUUGAAGAUGGACAGAUGCUUCUGCAGUUUCCAGUUGUCCUCCUCUAGGCGUCUUUAUUUCUCAUAGAUGUUCUUCAGGUCGCACACCAAUUUAUCCUUCGCUCCUCGCAGCUGUCAAACCUCAUCUUCCAGCUAGUCGUUCCGUUCGCCCUGGACACAAGCCUUCCUCUCCAGCGACUCCAUCCGACGAUUUCCUUUCUCUAGAAAGCAAUGCCAGCUCGUUCCUCUUGAGUUUCGCCGCCUCAACUUCACACUGUAGUACACACUUUUCCUUCCAGAGGUGUUCCACUUCCCUCUGCAGGCACUGGAACCUCAACUCGAGGUUUUUCCUCUCGGAUUCCCACUUUUAGAUCGCGUCUUUUUGUUCCUGAAUGAGCCUCGCCAUCCACUCCGCUUAUGCCAUCUUUAGCUGCAGGUCUUUCUCCUUCUGUCAUAGGAGUUUCUCGAGUCUCUCAAGCAGGUAGUUUGCCUCUGCCAACUGUGCAAUCACAUCCUUUAUCCUCUCACAUAGGGCAUCGUUUCUCUACCCGAUUUCCUUCGUGUUGUCCUUCAGUUGCUGAUUUUCUUCUACCAUCUUGAGGAUCUUGUUUUCCAGCUGGCGUUUCUCCUUCUUCUCUUUUCCGUUCCAGCUUCAAGCGAGGGGGGGCCUUGUCUUGCCAGGCUUGCUGUAGCAACACCUCUUGAGUGAUAUGGUUGGCACAAGUGCGUUCUUCCCUUCCGCCCGCCUUCUGCGUCUCUUCAUAGUAGUCGAGCCUCUGUUGCAGCUGAAGAAUUGUCCUGUCCAAGUUCAUCCACUGCUCUCUCUGUCACUGGAUGGCGUCUCGCAAGGCCGCAAUUCUCUCGUCCAGUUCCUUUUCCUUGGCCUGUUCAGCUCCAUCAUCAUGAGUCAGGAGAGAAAUUUCACCAGCGAAUAGGCAGCCACAGCAAACAAGAUGACUGAUCUUCCGUAUUUCGAACAUCUGGACAACAACGCCCCAACACCCAACAACAGCUGCUGCCAAGCCCAGUGGUUAUUCAGCAACAGGACCAACGGCUUUACGUGACUUCCGAACCACGUCGAGAGUGAACUUCUAUCACCAGAUAUACACAUCUCUCACUCCUCAAUGGAAUGGCCGAGAAUCGAACCCGCGACCACCGAGGUGGGACGCUAAUACCAUACCAACCCCGCUGCUGAGGCGCUCAAAAGAGCGAUGGUCCGACUGACAGUUCUACAUUUUACACGUGGACGUUCAACCUUCUAACAGUCGUGGGGGUGAACUGACAGGUAUUACUGUGGCUUGUAUAGCAGCUUCAGGUUAGUUUUCGCAAGAGCGCCGCCAACGACGAAACCCCACUUGAAGAAGACUCAUGAAGUUAUAAUCCAAGAAGAGGAAUCCAAUGCUGAAGAGUCACUUGAUUUGAAAUAAGGUCCGCACGAUGCCACUGACGUUACACAGUGAGGUUGAGUGUGCUGCAAGAGCUUGAAAAAAUUAAUAUUAUAGAAAGAGUAGAAUUCUCAGAUUAUGCCUCACCAAUUGUUACUGUCAGGAAGCAGAAUGGAUCCCUUAGGGUUUGUGGGGAUUUUCGUAAAAUAAAUGAAAUUCUUCAUGAAUCUAAAUUCCCAUUACCUAAUAUGUCAGAAUUAAUUCCCAGUGUGUCUGGAUAUAAGUAUUAUAUCAGACUUGAUCUCACGAAUGCUUAUUUGCAAAUGGAAGUUGCUCCAGAAGACCGUUAAUUUGGUAAUUAACACACAUUUGGGUCUAUAUAGAUAUUUUCGGUUACCAUUUGGUAUCCAUUCCGCUCCUGCAAUAUUUCAGAAGCUCACUUCCCAAUUGUUAGCUUCUUAUAAUUUUGCUUAUCCAUAUCUGGAUGAUAUUGUUAUAAGUGGAGACUCAUCAGCUGAACAUGAUGAACUAACUCAGCAUGAAUUACCUUUACCUAUAAGUCACAUUAUUUCACUCAUUAGGUUGUGCAUCUGUGAUUGUAAGUUUAUAUUCAAUGGUGAAUUUUAUCAACAAAUAUUUGGCAUGGCAAUGGGCAACCCUUUAUCGCCUCUCCUCUCAAACUUGUACAUGGAAUUCUUUGAAAAACGCUACUUACCUAAUAUCAUUUAUAUUCCUGUAAAGUGGUAUAGAUAUGUUGGUGAUAUUUUAGCUGUUCUGCCUGUCAAUAUUGAUGUAAAUGAUUUACUCUCUAAAUUAAAUAACCAGGUACCAUCAAUUAACUUUACUCUAGAAUUAGAAAAAGACAAUUGCCUCCCUUUCUUAGAUGUUUUAAUACAUAGAGAACCAUUUCAAUGUAAAUUUAAUAUUUAUAGGAAACCGACCAACAACUUAACUUAUGUUCAUUUCUAUUCAGGCCACCAUCUUAAGAUAAAAACAUCAAUUUUUUCUUUUAUGUUUUUACGAGCAUUGCACAUUGUCAGUCCCCAAUAUUUGGAUCAAGAAAUUGAAUACAUAAGAAAAAUAGGGAAAGAUUAACGUUAUCCUUCAUAUAUAUUAGAUAUUUGUUAUAAUAAAGCCCACAAAAAGUUUUAUAGUGUAAGUAAUACGGAGAAAGAAAAUUCUAAGAACAUUCUCAGUUUGCCUUAUUUUAAUGGAUUUGAAACCAUUAAAUCAUUGCUAAAAGCCCUUAAGGUCAACCUUGUUUUUUCGUAUAAUAACACACUAAAAGGAAUGUUAAUAAAAAAUGGCCCCAGAGAAAGCAACAUAAUAUAUAAAAUUCCAUGUAUGGAUUGUCCUUCAUCUUAUCUCGGACAGUCGAGCAAGGGCUUAGAAGUAAGGUUAAGCCAGCAUAAAUAUUCUGUCAAAACUGGGCAAACAUCUAAUGCAAUAUUCAUUCAUUUAAUUGAAAACAACCACCGAAUAAAUUGGAUUGGUAGUUCAGCAAUUGCAAGGUCAAAAGAUGUCUUAUCACGAAAUCUUUUAGAAUUUGCUUUAAUGCAACUUACUUCUCAUUGUAAUUUCAACAUUAGUUGUGGCCUGUUUCAUUUAGACCCUUAUAUUUGUAACAUGCUUAAGAAUGACCUCAAAAAUAUAAUUACAGACUUAAAUAAAAAUUAGUUGCUUUAGAGAUAUCUUCAUUGUAUAUGUAUGUUUAAUAUGUAUUGUGAAUAUGUUUUUGUUUACCAAAGUUCUGAAUAGCUGUCACCUAUAAUAAUCCUUUAAUUGUCUUGUCCUUUAAUUGUGCCCAUGUUUUGGCUUGUUUGGGAAGGUUACUCAUCUUCCAGGUGUGUCCGAUUCUAGGUACUAAUUUCUUUGUAAUCCCUUUCUGUCAGUUAUACGACCUUUCGUGUAUUGUCAUUUCCUCAUGUAAGUCAGUUCAUCUGCUUAGUAAAGGAUGUUUGAACGUCGAAAGAUCUCGCGGAUACUCCGUUGUUUAUUUUCCCUCAUGGCAUAUACCUUUAUUUAUUGAUUUAUCACAUUCCUAACUUUCGUGAUUCAG